UACGUAGGGUGCAAGCGUUGUCCGGAAUUAUUGGGCGUAAAGAGCUCGUAGGCGGCUUGUCGCGUCGUCCGUGAAAACCCACAGCUCAACUGUGGGCUUGCGGUCGAUACGGGCAGGCUAGAGUUCGGUAGGGGAGACUGGAAUUCCUGGUGUAGCGGUGAAAUGCGCAGAUAUCAGGAGGAACACCGGUGGCGAAGGCGGGUCUCUGGGCCGAUACUGACGCUGAGGAGCGUAAGCGUGGGGAGCGAACAGG
rnacentral:rRNA from 1 species